UUUAGAUAAUUUUAGUUGUAUUUCUUUGUAAUUUUGUGUUGUACAAAGAUUAAUUUAACAUCUUCUCUGGAAGUAUUAAUUUAGAAAGAUAAUAUGCUUCAUUGGUGUUGUGUUUUGAAGUGUGAAAUGCAAAGUAAUUGUGAUAAAGUCAAGAUAAAGUUCACUUUUAAACUGAACUAAAUAAGGUAUCUGAGAGACAACAAUGGUUAAAUGCAAUACAAUGUACAGGUUUUACUAGCGAAAUGAAAAUUUUCCUGUCCUGUCUGCUGUAAUCAUUUUAUAUCUGGAAAACCAGCCGACUUAAUCGAUAAUAACAAUCUCCAGAUUGGGUUCCUUCAAUAAAUAUGGGCUAUUAACACAAUGAAAUAAGUUCCAGAAAAUCUAAAAUGGAGUGGUAUCAAAGGAGAAUUAAAGGAAAAAAUAUUCAUAUUGAAAUUAUUUAUAAGGCACUGGACUGUCUUAAAUUCUACAAUAAUACUAGAAUCAGCUGAGAGAAGUGGUCUACAAAAAACCAGGAAGGAAACGGAAUAUGUGGCUACGAAAGGCAAAAGAAAGGUUUACAAAGCAAAUGUGACACAUUUUUUUUUGAAAUAUUUAGGAAUAUCAGUAAAUUGCAUUAAAGAAAUGUA